ensembl:snRNA U7 U7 small nuclear RNA
GAAAACUUGCUCUUUAGUUAUUUGUCCAGCAGGUUUCUCAUACAGAGAAGCCCAU